AUACGGAGGAUGCGAGCGUUAUCCGGAUUUAUUGGGUUUAAAGGGUGCGUAGGUGGUAGAUUAAGUCAGCGGUGAAAGGCUCGGGCUCAACCGGAGCAGUGCCGUUGAUACUGGUUGUCUUGAAUGCGGUCAAGGCCGGCGGAAUGUGGCGUGUAGCGGUGAAAUGCAUAGAUAUGCCACAGAACACCGAUAGCGAAGGCAGCUGGCCGGGCCUGCAUUGACGCUGAGGCACGAAAGCGUGGGGAUCGAACAGGAUUAGAUACCCUGGUAGUCACGCUGUAAACGAUGGACACUCGUUGUCGGCGACAGACAGUCGGCGGCCAAGCGAAAGUGAUAAGUGUCCCACCUGGGGAGUACGGUCGCAAGGCUGAAACUCAAAUGAAUUGACGGGG
rnacentral:rRNA from 1 species